GAAACAGAAAAAGAAAAGUUUUAUCGGACACGUAAUCAAGAUCUGAAGAAGAAUAGGUAUUAACUAAGAUGCUGAUGGAUGUCAAAAAUAGAAAAUGGAAUCAAUCUGCUGCUCUUAUUUUACGUGAAAUAUUGUGCAUAAAACAUGGUGUAGAUGUAUCACAAAUAAAUACAUGAAGUAUUAUGCUUAUUUAUAACAAGUGACGGAAGCAGUAAGUGUUGAAAAGGAAUUUAGUCUUAUGCAUAAGAUCUUUUCCUGAACUAAUGCCAAAAGCCUGCUUUGUCAGUCCAUGGCAAUUAAGUUUUAUCGAACAAGAUAACUAAAUCAGAUAUAUUUAGUCACUGAUUUGAAUGACCUCAAAAAAGAGUCGUCUGAUAAGAUGAUGUAAUUUUAUGUUUCUGCAACAAAGAUGACACUGUUUAGCAUUUUCCAAGGAGAAUAUUUAUUGAUAGAAAAUUCAUUGGCGAUACCACCUACAAGGGAGCAAGCAACUCGAGCAUUCUGCAGAGAAAUUGCUGUUGCCAUUGUCUGCAUAUAGCCAAUAAAUGACAUAUUGAAAUCACAUGUUCUGCCACAACACUGGCUUUUUGAUGUAUGUUUAUAUAUCACUCAUGUAUGCAGUUUGUAUUUCAAGAUUUGAUCAUGCUCUUUUCAGGGUUUUGUGUUGUUAUUCCUUAGUAUCGCAUGAUAUCUAGAAAAUAAAAUUAGUAUCAUAUAAUUUUAAGAAACUGAUGUACAUCGUUAUAAUGAAUAUGACUGAAAACUAAUAAAUAAAAGAUAUUCUAUUUUAAGCAA